CGACCUCGUUGCUUUGGCGGGUCGCAGGGCCGAAAGGUCCCCUGCAUAUGCGCCCGGGUGCUCCGGCCCCGGGGGUAGAGCCCGUCGAAGGCCCCUUGAAACUCUGUUUAUAAUGUCGUCCGAGGAAAAACCACAAUCAAUUUUAAAACUUUCAACAACGGAUCUCUUGGUUCUGGCAUCGAUGAAGAACGCAGCGAAAUGCGAUAAGUAAUGUGAAUUGCAGAAUUCAGUGAAUCAUCGAAUCUUUGAACGCACAUUGCGCCCCUCGGUAUUCCGGGGGGCAUGCCUGUUCGAGCGUCAUUGCACCCCUCAAGCUCUGCUUGGUCUUGGGCCCUAGUCCCCUGGACUUGCCCGAAAGUCAGUGGCGGUCCGGCGUGACUUCGAGCGUAGUAAAUUCUCUCCCGCUCAAGGUUCACGGCGCGACCGGGCCAUCAACGCCCCAUUUUUUCCAAUGAUUGACCUCGGAUCAGGUAGGGAUACCCGCUGAACUUAAGCAUAUCAAUA
rnacentral:rRNA from 1 species